CUUUCUUUAAUGCUUUUUCUUAAACCUCAACUCUUCGAAAUAAAACAUAAUUCCAUUUUAUAACUAUAAUUUUUUUGUCAAAAGUACUCUUGGCUGAAAAGAAUGAUUUGAAAAUGUUAUAUGAGCCUACACAGAGCCUAGGGUACCAAGAGGAAAAUAAAAAUAAUUACGUUGAUAUUUUUUUAAUUUUUAGGGGAGGAGAGGUGAUAGAUGUAGCCCAUGAUUUCUGUGUGUCUCUGAUUGUGAAAAUGAUUGGCAUUAUCUGACUUAUAUCAGAGGAGAGGUCCCAAGAAGCGUGGUUGAUCCAUUCAACUAUCCUGCCAUUCUUUGAGAUGAAUCUUUACAGCAUAUUGUCUCUGUCAUUCAAUUUCUAUAGUUUUUAAAAAACAAUGUAAGAUACAAAAGAAAGAAUUAGUACGUCCUUGAAUGUAAAGUUGUUAUUUGUAUGUCAUGUAUCAGUGCCCAUCAGUUUAUGCAGGGAAGAGCAAUGAGAACCAAGGCAGCUAUUUUGAGUAUUGGUAUUAAAGCAAACAUAGAUGAACUUAUACAAUAAUAGACAGGAAAAGGUAGGAUAACUACUCUCAAAUAUAUGUAAAUAUAUCACAAAAGUCAUGACAUUUUAGUGACCUGACUUGGAAUAUGCUCUUUGGUUUCUUUUAAUAAUUAUCUCACAUCAUCUUCAGAUGAUGGAAAGACACAUCAAGGACAGUGUAGCAUAUUUUUUAAGUGCUUGAUUUUAAUGCUUAUGUUCUUUUCUCUUUCUUUUUAUUUUUAUAGUGCUUUUGAAAAGAAUGUUCCCUUCUACAGUAGAUAGGAUUACUCUAUUGUCACCUUGCCAGCUGAUGUAAAAGCAUUUCUAACAAAUACACAGAAUUAGAAACUGGAGAGGAGUUGCUUGUAGAUAGGUAUAGAAGAGCAGAAGAAAAGGCCUUCAAGACCACAAGAAAAAUAAAAAUUAAAGAUUUUUCAUGUGUGCUGUUUUCAUCUUUAGUAACAAUAACUUUUAAUUUAAAAGCCAGUAACUGGUCUAAACAUGUGGGAAAUGAGAACAGCUUCUUCAGGUCAUUGAACCAGCUGGUGAUUAUCUGUGUUGAGAGUUAGCACUUCAUGGCUGCCUCUACAUGAGUCACUGUUAUACCCCAUCAAACCACUUACAUCCACUAUUAUGCCUCAUUACAUUUCUGUCCACCAAUGAGCAUUGUUUUACCUCUUUGCAACAGGGCACUCUGCUAUGCUGCUCUUCCGGCUACUCAGUCAUAUGAGCCAUGUACUGUUAGGCAAAGAGGAAAGUUUAAGUGAAUGGCAGCAGAUAUUCUCACAAAUUUUCCUUUCACAUUUUGUUUCUGGAGUACUUCCUAUAAGCUAUUUGCAAUCUUUCUCCCAUCAUUUGCUGUUCAGUCUCCUUGGCCCUCUACCUUUGACUUGAAUAUAUCUAAGACUAAAUAACAUUUCUAAAACAUCAUUGUAUGAUCAGUCCUUUUGUUACAGGGAUCCUCUUUGGCUCUGUCUUUCUAAAGUCUAAC